rnacentral:lncRNA from 1 species
UCUGCAAUCUGGGCAUUUGAAAACAAAGGGCCCAGGAAAAAGCAUUUAAAAACGUUAGCGUGAGUGAACGAAAAAUAAACUAAUUAAUAUGUAUCCACGAACAAAAUAAUACAAAAUCAAAUUUUAUAUGCUUUUCCAUUUAUACGGAAUUUAAGAAUUUCUAUGCAUUCAAAUAUUAUAAUCUCAACAAAAUUCACACUAACCCCGCUAGUCAUAAAGCAAUAAGAAAAAUAAACGGAUUCCUCAUAUAAGAAACUUCCAAAAUAAUGGACUAGCCCCGCUAGUCAAAUUAACAACUCAAAUAAAAUAUCCUAUAUGGCCAUAUAAGUGAAUCUCCUAGACUCGGUUGCCUCCUAGGCAUAGUACUCCCAUACUCCUUGUACCUUCACGUCGAGUUGACGGAUAGGGCACAUGGCUUGCGUGAUGCCGCCGGCAACAUCCACUACCAGGACAAGCACUUUAGCCGACGAAAAAGUUUCGUCGGCCUAUUAACUUAAUUCGUCGGCUAAGAUUUCGUCGGGAAAAGGUCGUCUGUGAUGACUUUAGCCGACGAAAUUUGUUUUUUCGUCGGCUAAAGUCCCACAGUUAGCCGACGAAAAACAUGUCGUCGGUUUUUUUCCUAGACUUUAACCGACGAAACAAUUAAGAUAUUUUUCGGCUAAAGUGUGUAAUAAAUAAUUAAAAAAUAACUAUAGCCGACGAACUUUAGUAUAUUUCGUCGGCUAAACCUUAUAAAAAAUUUAAAAAAAUAACUAUAGCCGACGAAAUAUAGUAUAUUUCGUCGGCUAAACCUUAUAAAAAAAUUAAAAAAUAACUAUAGCCGACGAAUUGUGGUAUAAUUCGUCGGUUAAACCUUAUAAAAAAAAUUAAAAAAUACUAUAGCCGACGAAUAUAGUGUUUAAAUAUCGUCGGCUAAAGUUGCUGGGUUUUGAAAAAAAACUGACAGAAACUUUCGGCCACCUCCAAUCACGACCAAAAUUUGACAGAAUCUUCCUCUCAACAUUUCGAACAACUUUCUAGAAGAAGUCGAAGCUCAAUUCUAAGCCUAAACAUGUCAAUCGACUCAAAAUAUAAAAAUCCCCAAUUUUAAACCCUAAAAACUUCAAAUCUUCGAUUCUCUUCACACAAACCGAAUCGAGCUACCAAAUUCUAGGGGAAUGUAGUACUAAUCAAACUCAACUUAUCCAUAUAUAGAACUCACCAAAUGGUGACCUAAGGAAGGAGAAAUUCGAUCGACACUGAAUCCGAACCGGCGGAGUUUUAGAGCUCGAUUUAUCCCUCACGGCGGCGCCACUCGAUGCACCACCUAUCCAGCAAUGAAGUAGAGACGACGGCGAAGCUUUUGGGACAACUGUGGCGGUCUCCGGUGGCUUAACGGCGGAGCUAGGCCGAAAAGAAAAUCUGGCAGAUAAUAGACUUCUUACCAUCCAUCUUCGCCUAUAUAAAGAACUUUAGCCGACGAAAUUCUUUAUUUUCGUCGGCUAAACUCUUUUGAAAAUUUAGGUUGACCGCCAAAAAAAUUUGGUUGAAAAUUUUGAAAAUUUUUCGACUUUAGCCAACGACUUUUCAUAUAUUUUCGGCGGCUAAAGUCCUUUGAAAAUUUUCCUCCAACUUUGGUUUACCGCCCAAAAAAUUUUGAAAUUUUUUGACCUUAGCCGACGACUUUUUUAAUAUCUCGUCGGCUAAAGUCUAUAAAUUCACGAAAACGCUCAUAUCUCCCUUUAUAUUACGUAGUUUGGUCAAACCUUCCACACGAAAAAAUCUCACGUAGAUGAGACGCAACCGCGUAUAUAAAAAUUUUGAGACAUUUACCUUCCGACGAUAGGGCUCCCCAUUGGGAAUAAUAAUGGUAAAUAGGGUUGACCGCUACUAUCGGCACCGAGACUUUACCCGAUUUACGUGAUUUUUGAACCAUAGCCGUAUUUCACCAUUCUGAAUACAUCUUAUUUCACGAGAUUUUUGAUAAUUUUGCUUCCUAUAUAGAGUUGGUUCACAAAGUUGUAUAACCUACUAAACAAGUUAUACAACAUUAGUAGACACGUUGUGAUUCCAAUGACUAAAAUUCACAAACCAAAAUUCAACCCUCAGAUAUGAUUAUUAUGACGAAAGAUGUCUAUGGUAAAAAAUUCAGCUGGAUCCGACAACGUUAAGGACUCGAUCGAAACGGGUAACCCUAAUCCAUCGUCACUUAUCACACGAAAACGCUCAUAUCUCCCUCUAUAUUACGUAGUUUGGUCAAACCUUCCACACAAAAAACUCUCACGUAGAUGAGACGCAACUGCCCAUAUAAAAAUUUUGAGACAUUUACCUUCUGAUGAUUAGGCUCCCCCAUAGGGAAUAAUAACGGUAAAUAGUAGACACGUUGUGAUUCCGAUGACUAAAAUUCACAAACCAAAAUUAGACCGUCAGAUAUGAUCAUUAUGACGAAAGAUGUCUAUGGUAAAAAAUUCAAUUGGAUUCGACAACGUUAAGGGCUCGAUCCAAACGGUUAACUCUAAUCAAAAAUAAGAAAACUGCAUUUUGAAGCCCUAAACGGACUCGGAUGGCCAAAAAGGCCUAUACAUCAUGGCAUUGGCGAUGAGUUUGACUCGUAGCGUCGUUACGCUUCUGGAAAGGUAUCACAAUAGUCAAUCAGACACCAAAUGCCAAAUCUGCAGCAUAGUGAAUAAUAAGAGUAAAUUGCAUUGACCGCAACUAUCGGCACCGAGACUUUACCGGAAUACCGUGAUUUUUCAACCGUAGACGUAUUUCACCAUUAUGGUCAUAUCUUAUUUCACGACUUUUUUGCGUUUGAAGGUUCUACGUAUAGUUUUUUUUUCCAGAUGAGUUGUUGUCCAGAUCUGCAAAUAUAAGGCACUUUAGCCGACGAAAUUAUAUUUUUCGUCGGCUCAACUUUUUAAAAUUUCGUCGGCUAAAGUUCACAGACUAUAGCCGAUGAAAAAAAUUAUUCAGCCGACGAAAUAUUAAUUUCGUCGGCUAAAGUUGACCAUAGCCGACGAAAAUUUUAAAUUAGCCGACGAAAAAAAAAUUCGUCGGCCUGGUUUUUUAUUUUUCGUCGGCUGAAGCUUUUCUUCUGGUAGUGAUCACAACACCACUAGAGUGAAAAGGGCUUGCGUGACCCCACUUGAAACGUGAGAGUCACAUCACCUCGAAAGGUGGAACGACAUAUUAACAUUGACAUCAUAUAAUCCACCAAAUAUGGCAUAAGAAAGGAAAAUAUAAUUUCAUGUGAGUUUUCCCGAAACUCAUCUUUAAAACAUAAGUACGAUUCCCAACCGUACUGGGAAAUUCCAAGAGAAAAGAAAUAAAUUAAAUUUAAUAACGUGUCCCACAUGUUAAAAUGCUCAAAGUAAUAAUUAAGCCAAAUAAUCCACAUAUUUCAAAUCUCCAAUCAUGCAUGCAUAUUCCAUUAAAAACAAAGUGUCCACUCACAAUAUAGAUGGCUAAGCCUGAUGUCGGUCAGAGCCCUCCUCACGUGGUGUCUCCUCUCGUCCUGUACAAAACGAGAUUUAAGGUCACAGACAAUAACUCAAAAAUAACAAUUUUAACAAAGUAAGGUGAAGUCUUCCUCACUCCCUCUACACACCUAAACCUAAGAAGAACUCCAACCUUAUUUUUACUAAUCAUCUCCAAUUUUUCCUCAACGUUCUAACAUAUACAUACAAAUAUGGAAAUUUCCAUGGAUGAGGCUCACCUCUACUUUUUCACCAAAAUCAACUUAAAAAUUUCCUAAAUUCCUACCAACAAAUACCAUAAUUUUCAAUACUUCAUUACCACUCAUUUCUUAUUAAUGGAGCCACCAAAACUAUCCCAAAUUCCAAACACUCAUCACCAAAAAAAAAAAAAAAAAUAACACCAUACCAUACAACAACAUUUAUCUCUUCUAGAAAUCAUUCAAAUUACUCAAAACCACCACAUCAACCUCAACCAAAAUUAACAAGAUACCUAUCAAUCUCUUCCUCUCAGCAAGCACAACAACAAAUAUAACUAACCCAAACUCUAGAAAUCAAAGACUUGGCCGGAAAUUACCUCCAAGCUCAAGAACACCAACAAACCCGAUUUGUUCUCAACUUCGAAUCGAGCUUCCUCUUUUGGAGGGAUGAAAGGCCAAUAGGAGAGCUUCAAAACCCCUCAAAAAUCUCUCGGAUCGGUGGCCGGAGAAGGAAGUUCCGGCUUACAAAACCAAUGGCCUUAACAGCGCUACCGUGAGCCGCUGCCGGCGAGAUGAGGCCAGCUACCACCCCAGGAAGGACGAGCGACAUCCCAGCUACCGAACGGGACCGACGCGGGGGUCUGCUGCGGCCGGAAGGCGGCGCUCUGCCAAGGAGAAUCAGAUGAGGUCGGAGUCGGGGUCAGGGUCGGGGAGAGAGAGUGGAUGGAGGCUGUUGACUUUUCUGUUUUUUUUUUUACCCUAACUUAAAUGAAAGGCCUCACUUAAAAACCCCAGCCCCCAUAUGGAAAGUCUUAUUAUUUAGCUGAAACCUUUACCUACGAACUCUUAUCCGAAUAACUAAAAGUCUACAAGUUUGUCUACGCCACCACAAAAUAAAACAAAACAAAUUCCCAAAUGAUUAACCACAAGUAAAUCGGAUACCACAGUAUAAAAAUAAUUACUAGGUUCGGGGUGUAUCAUAUUUGUCUUUAAAUAAUUGUUUUAGCUCUUAAAGUGGGCCAUACUGUCAAAAUUAACAUUCAAAUUUGAUGAAAUCUUAACAAACAUGCAAAUAUGAUGAAAAUUUUAAAAUUAAGAGGGUAAAUUUUUAAAAUUGAGAGAAUGAUGAUUGAAACGGAUAGUACCCCAAACCUUAAGAGGGUAAACUGAAUUUAAUAAAAAAAUACCACCUAAAAUGCAUUGCACUCCUAACUUCGAACACUGAUAUAUAGAGGUCGACCCAGAGAACCCUCAGAACAUCAUACAUUGGAUGUCUCUCUUUAGCAAAAGUCAUGGCUGGAAAAGGGCGGGAGACUAUCAACCAUAAAUACUCCAAGGGUGGCUGGAAUGCCCCAUUUUCAUCAUCUGUAAGUCGUUAAUUUUAGAGAAAAUUAGAUAAAAACCCAAAAUACUAGACCUCUUUUAAGAUAAACCCAUACAUAUUUUUCUUUUAUUUUACACCCACUCCACAU